rnacentral:rRNA from 1 species
GACGAACGCUGGCGGCGUGCUUAACACAUGCAAGUCGAACGGUGAAGCGCUUGCCUUUUUGGUUGGUGUGGAUGAGUGGCGAACGGGUGAGUAACACGUGAGUAACCUGCCCUCUUCUUCUGGAUAACCUCAUGAAAGUGGGGCUAAUACGGGGUAUUCCGGUUCUGUCGCAUGGCGGGUUUGGGAAAGAUUGCGCCUUUGGGUGUUUUCGGUGGGGGAUGGGCUCGCGGCCUAUCAGCUUGUUGGUGGGGUGAUGGCCUACCAAGGCGGUGACGGGUAGACGGGCUGAGAGGGUGGACGGCCAAACGGGGACUGGGACACGGCCCAGACUCCUGAGGGAGGCAGCAGUGGGGAAUAUUGCACAAUGGGCGCAAGCCUGAUGCAGCGACGCCGCGUGAGGGAUGGAGGCCUUCGGGUUGUGAACCUCUUUCGCCAGUGAAGCAGGCCUGCUCCUGUGUGGGUGGGUUGACGGUAGCUGGAUAAGAAGCGCCGGCUAACUACGUG